CCUUCCCCAGACAACUGCUCUUCCACUUGGCUUCUGGCAUCUCCAGGAUUCCCACCAACCUCCAGCCAUGAAGAUCUUCUGCCUCAUCUCUCUCGCCUUCCUCGUUCUGAUGCUGGUGGCUCCAGAUUUGUCUGUAGCUCAACGUCCCACCCAGGAUUGCCAGAACAAUGGGGGCAGCUGCAGAAAAACCUGCAACAAAGGCGAGAAAGAGAUUGGGAAGUGUUCGGGAGACAGGCGUUGCUGCAAGCGCAGCUAAGCAGACCCAUCACGCAUCAUCUCUGAUGAAAGGAAGACCACCACCCGUUUCUUCUCUGGAGAUGCAGCUGCCUUGACUGCACCUCUGCAAAAACCUCUAUGCUCACUGCUGCUGCUGCUGCUGCUGCUGCUGCUGCUGCUGCUGCUGGAACUUCUGGGAAGGAUCCAUCACAGCCCAAUCCUUUCUGCCCAUUUACUCCAGAGCAAGUCCUGCUGUGCUCAGUGAGGCUGGCAUCUUUGUAACUGGGUUUAGGAUGGGAUAUGUCUGCUUUAGCUUUUCCUUUCAAUAAAUGCAAGCAUUGGAAA